AACUGGAAAAUACGAAAUUGAGAAGGAAAUUGAAGCUGAAAAGCAAAUAGACACAUUCCAAGAACAACCACAAAGGUUAAUACUCAAAUUUAAGCGAAGACCAACUAAAUCCCAGCCAGAGGUUCAGAAAGUAUUAAGUGAAGGAGAUGGGAAGGCAUGUACAACUUCUGAGACAGAAGUUCAAAAACCAUUGAGUGAAGGAGAUAAGAAAUCUUCGUCAAAAUCACAGCCUGAAGUUCAAAAAACAUCAAG